rnacentral:pre_miRNA from 1 species
AAAAUACUCCCUCCGUCUCAAAAUUCGUGUCUUAGAUUUGUCUAGAUAUGAAUGUAUCUAGUCAAAUUUUUGUAUUUAGAUACAUCCAUUUCUAGACAAACCUAAGACAAUAAUUUUAAGAAGGAGAGUAGAUA